rnacentral:rRNA from 1 species
AUUGAACGCUGGCGGCAUGCCUUACACAUGCAAGUCGAACGGCAGCACGGGGCAACCUGGUGGCGAGUGGCGAACGGGUGAGUAAUGCAUCGGAACGUACCUUUCAGUGGGGGAUAACGUAGCGAAAGUUACGCUAAUACCGCAUAUUCUGUGAGCAGGAAAGCAGGGGAUCGCAAGACCUUGCGCUGAUUGAGCGGCCGAUGUCAGAUUAGCUAGUUGGUGAGGUAAAGGCUCACCAAGGCGACGAUCUGUAGCGGGUCUGAGAGGAUGAUCCGCCAAACUGGAACUGAGACACGGUCCAGACUCCUACGGGAGGCAGCAGUGGGGAAUUUUGGACAAUGGGGGCAACCCUGAUUCAGCCAUGCCGCGUGAGUGAAGAAGGCCUUCGGGUUGUGAAGCUCUUUCGGCCGGGAAGAAAUCGCACGGGCUAAUACCCUGUGUGGAUGACGGUACCGGAAUAAGAAGCACCGGCUAACUACGUGCCAGCCGCCGCCGUAAGAC